rnacentral:SRP_RNA from 1 species
GUCGAGCUAAGUAACGAGAGCUUGUGACCCGAGUGGGGACAUCAAGGUGGUGGAACAGUGGUUCGAGUCCACGGGGUCGGAUCUGGUGUUGGCAAGUUUCUGAGCUGCCCAGUCCAAGCUGUGAGUAAUCCGUGUGGGUCGAGCGAAGGCUUGGCUUCGGCGGAUUCUAUAGUCGGAGGGUAAUGCGUGAGGCUGGUUUCACAGAGCAGCGACUACUUCCCGCUUACAGCAGUGGACGGACCACAGUUCGGCGUCGCCCAGAUCCACUAUGGCCUGCUGGUUCGUUCUCACCUGAACCACCAUUUUU